rnacentral:rRNA from 1 species
AUACGUAGGUGGCGAGCGUUAUCCGGAUUUACUGGGUGUAAAGGGCGCGUAGGCGGGGGUGCAAGUCAGAUGUGAAAUCUAUGGGCUUAACUCAUAAACUGCAUUUGAAACUGUAUCUCUUGAGUGCUGGAGAGGUAGACGGAAUUCCUUGUGUAGCGGUGAAAUGCGUAGAUAUAAGGAAGAACACCAGUGGCGAAGGCGGUCUACUGGACAGUAACUGACGCUGAGGCGCGAAAGCGUGGGGAGCAAACAGGAUUAGAUACCCUGGUAGUCCACGCUGUAAACGAUGAAUACUAGGUGUGGGGGGACUGACCCCCUCCGUGCCGCAGUUAACACAAUAAGUAUUCCACCUGGGGAGUACGGCCGCAAGGUUGAAACUUAAAGGAAUUGACGGGG